UGCUGGAGGUAUCAGAAGUGCGAAUGCUGACAUAAGUAACGAUAAAGCGGGUGAAAAGCCCGCUCGCCGGAAGACCAAGGGUUCCUGUCCAACGUUAAUCGGGGCAGGGUGAGUCGACCCCUAAGGCGAGGCCGAAAGGCGUAGUCGAUGGGAAACGGGUUAAUAUUCCCGUACUUGGUGUUACUGCGAAGGGGGGACGGAGAAGGCUAUGUUGGCCGGGCGACGGUUGUCCCGGUUUAAGCGUGUAGGUGUGUGUUCCAGGUAAAUCCGGUUCACUUUAACACUGAGGCGUGACGACGAGGCACUACGGUGCUGAAGCAACAAAUGCCCUGCUUCCAGGAAAAGCCUCUAAGCAUCAGGUAACAUCAAAUCGUACCCCAAACCGACACAGGUGGUCAGGUAGAGAAUACCAAGGCGCUUGAGAGAACUCGGGUGAAGGAACUAGGCAAAAUGGUGCCGUAACUUCGGGAGAAGGCACGCUGACAUGUAGGUGAAGUGAUUUACUCAUGGAGCUGAAGUCAGUCGAAGAUACCAGCUGGCUGCAACUGUUUAUUAAAAACACAGCACUGUGCAAACACGAAAGUGGACGUAUACGGUGUGACGCCUGCCCGGUGCCGGAAGGUUAAUUGAUGGGGUCAGCGCAAGCGAAGCUCCUGAUCGAAGCCCCGGUAAACGGCGGCCGUAACUAUAACGGUCCUAAGGUAGCGAAAUUCCUUGUCGGGUAAGUUCCGACCUGCACGAAUGGCGUAAUGAUGGCCAGGCUGUCUCCACCCGAGACUCAGUGAAAUUGAACUCGCUGUGAAGAUGCAGUGUACCCGCGGCAAGACGGAAAGACCCCGUGAACCUUUACUAUAGCUUGACACUGAACAUUGAGCCUUGAUGUGUAGGAUAGGUGGGAGGCUUUGAAGUGUGGACGCCAGUCUGCAUGGAGCCGACCUUGAAAUACCACCCUUUAAUGUUUGAUGUUCUAACGUGGACCCGUUAUCCGGGUUGCGGACAGUGUCUGGUGGGUAGUUUGACUGGGGCGGUCUCCUCCUAAAGAGUAACGGAGGAGCACGAAGGUUGGCUAAUCCUGGUCGGACAUCAGGAGGUUAGUGCAAUGGCAUAAGCCAGCUUGACUGCGAGCGUGACGGCGCGAGCAGGUGCGAAAGCAGGUCAUAGUGAUCCGGUGGUUCUGAAUGGAAGGGCCAUCGCUCAACGGAUAAAAGGUACUCCGGGGAUAACAGGCUGAUACCGCCCAAGAGUUCAUAUCGACGGCGGUGUUUGGCACCUCGAUGUCGGCUCAUCACAUCCUGGGGCUGAAGUAGGUCCCAAGGGUAUGGCUGUUCGCCAUUUAAAGUGGUACGCGAGCUGGGUUUAGAACGUCGUGAGACAGUUCGGUCCCUAUCUGCCGUGGGCGCUGGAGAACUGAGGGGGGCUGCUCCUAGUACGAGAGGACCGGAGUGGACGCAUCACUGGUGUUCGGGUUGUCAUGCCAAUGGCACUGCCCGGUAGCUAAAUGCGGAAGAGAUAAGUGCUGAAAGCAUCUAAGCACGAAACUUGCCCCGAGAUGAGUUCUCCCUGAGACUU
rnacentral:rRNA from 2 species